CGGUAAUACGUAGGCAGCGAGCGUUGUUCGGAGUUACUGGGCGUAAAGCGUGCGUAGGCGGUGCCCUAAGUCUGGUGUGAAAUCUCCCGGCUCAACUGGGAGGGUGCGCUAGAAACUGGGAUGCUAGAGUGUGGGAGAGGUAAGCGGAAUUCCUGGUGUAGCGGUGAAAUGCGUAGAUAUCAGGAGGAACACCUGCGGUGUAGACGGCUUACUGGACCAUGACUGACGCUGAGGCACGAAAGCGUGGGGAGCAAACAGGAUUAGAUACCCUGGUAGUCCACGCCCUAAACGAUGCAUACUUGGUGUGGGCAGUUCAGUCUGUCCGUGCCGUAGCUAACGCGUUAAGUAUGCCGCCUGGGGAGUACGGUCGCAAGGCUGAA
rnacentral:rRNA from 1 species